rnacentral:lncRNA from 1 species
AGAUUAGCAAGAAGCCCUGCAGUUACUGGAGCGUAGCGAAGGGUUUUGAGCAGGGGAUCAGCACCUGCUUUUCGGCUUUCAUUGGAGUUUCUCUUCAGCCAUCAGAAGAGUAAAGGAAAACCAGAAACUGCCAUCAGAAUGAGCAGCAUGAUUAUACAUCAGUAACAAGCAAAUUGCUUGUCAAAAAGUAAGUUUUCUUGAGACUUCCUUGGAAAGAUCAGUUCCCUGAUGUGGUUCACGUCACAGCACGAGUGGUAAGAACUUGGGCUGUGGUCUUCUGAUCAAUGAAAAUGGAAUGUCCUUCAUCACAGAAGUUGAUGGGAGAUUUCUCUUUUCCUUGGCAAUUCUGUGGAAGAUCCAUAUUUCACCAAAGUUGUACAGAAACCUUUCAACACAGAUGUGAUAUUUUGACCUACAGAACGAUCCAUGUACUUGGUGGCACAGCAGAUUCCUCUUAUUUUUCAGUCUGAAAGAAGUCUCAUGAGCAGCUGGAAAUAUCAGGUUUUUACAAAUAUUCAAAAUUUGCUAAUGAUCUUGGGAAGAUCUUCAACCAGAUUAUUCUUAUGCCACAAAUCUCAGCUAGCGAGUUCUGCUCAACAAAAUAUUUACAUAUGCACUUAGCUUUAUAAAUAUAAAACAAGAACUUUGCCUUUCCUAGCCGUGUUUCUUUAACUAGAUUCACUGGGUCAAGACCUAACAGAGGCUGGUGGAGGAGGAGCUAAAGCAAAAAAACUAGAAAGUUGGGUUAUUCAUGGUCGGAUCUUGCAAACAAAAUUGUUUUUAAAAAGUUUGGCAUCAAUGAAUAUGGUUAUCUCUAGAUGCAACAAAUGUCAGCAUGACUGCUCAUAGAUCAGAGUACUUGGGAUCCUUUCAGAGGGCCUCUAACUUGCAUUGUAGUUCGGCAUUUUCUUGCAUUCAUAUACUCACAACAUCUUUAAGCUAUUUAAAUCCAGAUUAGUUUUCUCUUGAUCCUUAAUUAUAUCCCUUCAAAACAAAUUUCCAUCUGUUCUUCUUUAAAGAUUUCAACAUCUUAUCUUGGAAAAGAAGCAGAACAAAAUGCAGUCUAUUUCCUUGAUAAUUAAAUAACAACGAUUUAUAAAUAAAUAAAUAAAUGUAUCUUUCCUUUAUAAAAUGUAUCUUUCCAGGUUCAGAGAAGCUGCACUUCCUCCAUUCUCAGGAGAUUUACAAAUAAAAAACCAAGACAUUUGUGAUGUUUAUGAAACUUCAGUUUUGAUAACAGAUAGAUACAGUUUUUUCUCAUACUGUUGGCUUUUGUUUGGACCUAAAUCGAGAACAAGUGUGUCUAAAUACAGUCAGCAAAAUCUGCAAAGAUUGAUCUUAGUUAUUAGCCUGGUUGUUUCCAGAUUCCCUUUCAAAUAUAUAUCUUCAAAAUAUGUCUAACUUGUAAAGAAAUAUAGGAAUCUGGAAGGUAAUAGUUCUUUUCACACUGUGGACACCAAAUAACUUCUUUUAUUUUAUAACUGCUAUAACUUGCCCCUCCCUAACAAAAAGCUUCUGACAGAAUACAUAUUUAUGUAAGUUACAGAAAAAUAAAAUAUGUAUUUCAGUG